ensembl:snRNA U6 U6 spliceosomal RNA
GUGCUUGCUUUGGCAGCACAUAUACUAAAAUUGGAACGAUACAGAGAAGAUUAGCAUGGCCCCUGUGCAAGGAUGACAUGCAGAUUUGUGAAGUGUUCCAUAUUUUU